AUGAAUAGUAUUAUAAAACUGUGAAAAAUAAGACAUAUUUUUUUUUAACUAAUGCUUGUUUUACAAAUUCCAAACGUGGCUACCUGAAGUUCCACGUCGGCAGAGCAGCCAAAUGAGGAAUUUGAAAGAAAAAGGAAUUUUAACCUUUGCCUCUCACGACAUGGCUUCCCUGAAAAUGCAGUGAACAUGUCCAUAAAUACCUUACGUUCAUGUGCAAAGGAACAUGCAUAGACAAAGGGGACAUGUCAUGUUGUUUUUCUGAAAUGCACGCGAUUUUUUUCACUUGCGCUUACCUAGUUGAAGGAGUUAGACUGAAGUUUACCAAGCAAGUGGUUUUUUAUAAAACGAAAAAAACAAUAACCGUUCUAGAUGCAAUCUCUCAGAUAGAGCCAUCUGAGCCUCCGGAGAAAGCGCUGCAUAAGGCAAUGAGACACCACGUCUGGGGCUCCCGAUGUUAUUGGGUUCCUAAGCCGCCUCGCCAACGCCUAAGGUCUGCGUAGCUUUCCUCUUUGAGCAACUCAGGUUUCUCACUCAACACAUUGCCUUCUGCAGCACCUUUCCCGGAGCCACCUGAGCGACUGCAUCUGGCAUUAGAAAAAAAAUAGGGUUUUAAUGAGUUAUCAGCUUAGGAAUUUGCAAAUAUUUGUUUUUUGCCUCUUGAUUUAUUUAAUUUUGUUGUAAAGAAUAAUUAAUAUAAGUGUUUGGGAGUUUUAUUUUAUUAGCCACGUUAGGAAUUUGAAUAUGUUCACAAAAGUAAAAAUGAACAAAUUUGAACAACAAGCUUUAGUUUUAAAAACAAAUAUCUCUUAUUUUAGAUUCCUAGGAACUUAGCAAUCAAUAAGAUUUUAAGAAUCUUUUUCAGUUUUAAAAAGUAAACAUUAGGUAAGAAAAAAAAAAGAGAAAAAUAACUCUACAAAGGAAGAAUGGUCAAGAAAUAGAUGCGGUCGACAUUUGCCGGAUAUUUUAGAAAUCUGAGAAGACCGCUAUGUCGCCUUAGAAAAAGCUUCUGGGUGCUACCUAGGUGCAGCUGAUUCAAUCUCGAGCUGGCAUCACCUGUCUGGCUCCUCUCGCUCUAAUCGAUAUAUAAUCCAGAUUGAUAAAUGCCGUGUUAAUAAAAUCAAAGCAAAAAUAAUUUUUUGAAUUAAAAACAUUAAAUAUAUUACAAAACUUUUUCUAUGGGUCUUAAACUAGACAAAUAGACAAAUACUUCGCACAAAUUGAAGCGAAGAUCGGCACUGUUUGUUUUAACGUAUAAUAACUUGAUUUUACUUUCACUGUUUAAAAAAAUAAUGGUCUGCGAAAGACUUAUCUAGAAAGCAUAUAUAUAUAUUUUUUUAAAUCACUGUUUUUGUUUAACACUCAAAUUUCUUCAAAUAAUUAAACGCAAGUGAAAAAGUAGAAAAGAGAUGCAUUUUUUACAUGUCCCGUUUUUCGAUGCAUUAUUCGUGCCCAUGAAAUCAGAGUAUUAAUGGACAUGUUCGACUAUGCAAGUUGUUAUGUAAAAAUAUUUAUAUGAUGGACGUUGAUGCACUUCGUACAAACAAGUGUCCCAAGGACACCAAGCAAGUGCUUUUUACGCUAGUGGACUUAUUUUCAAUUUGGUCAAAAUAUACGAGUUCGCGGGAAAGAUACAUUAAACAAAUAGAGAUGGGACACAAAUAAAAAUAAAAGGCACGACUAAGAAUUAAGACAAUAAGUUAAAAUAUUAGUGUAGGAUCGCCGGUGAAUAGUCCAAUUACAACACGAAAUAAAGUUUAAUGACUUUUAUUCGGUCGGAAAAACAACAGAUUUUUGUGGUUUUACAUCUACUCUUCUUCAAGCACAGAAAGCAAAAGAGAGUACUUAAUGCGACGAUUCUUUCUGCAGUAUCGAUACUAAUAUUUUGUAGAGU